CACUGGUGCUAAUUCAAGUGUCAUUCAGAUCAAAGGAACACAUUCUCUUAUUCGCUGAAACCCCAUAUCCCUGAAGUGUGGCUGCUGCUGGUGUCAGAAGCUGGUGGCUUUCAGACAGACAGGGAAGAGCCCAGGUGACCAGAGCUUUCCUGCAGGUAUUUCUACUGGGAAAGUCUUCUUUCACACUUCCCAUCCUCAAUGCAUUUCCUACUUUGGCAAAGAUUUUCUUCAUGAGGACUGCUUGUCAAGGUUGUCAGAGGAUUUCAGUGUCCUUUGAGUGAUCCUGUUCCCCUGGCUGAAGGAACACCACUUCCUCUCUUGAUAUCUCAUGCCCAGAAGUGGGGAUGGUCUCCCAGUAUGGAAUCACUCAGAUUUCCUCACUAUAUCUCAUUUGGUUUCCCAGUGCCUCAACGACCUGAGAAACCAGUUCCCUGGAAAAUAAUUUGGAAGAAAGAUAUGCUCCAGUUUGUGGGUUUCUGUAUGAUUCUUUUAUUUCAUUUUCCUUUUUGGAUAAGUUAAUGUCUGUUAAAUCAUCUAAUCAAAACUCUACUGCAGGUACAUCCUCAAUUAUGAUUUCCUACUGAGGUCCUUUACAUUUCUAGGCCAAUGCAAAUAGAGAUGCCUCUCGGAUGUUUUCACACCACUGUUUUGUAUGAUUCAAGCUGGUGCAUAAAAUCUCUUCAGCUACUUUCAAAGGAUUAAUUAGUAGUGACUUUGUGAAUUUGUAGAAGUAUAAAACAGGGUAAUGUUGACUUUCACAGAGUGGUAGUUUGAAAAUGAAAAGAGAAUAAAUCAGAAACUUCUACCA
rnacentral:lncRNA from 1 species